rnacentral:tRNA from 2 species
GCCCAGGUGGCGGAAUUGGUAGACGCGCUGGUUUCAGGUAUCAGUGAUAGCAAUAUCGUGGAAGUUCGAGUCUUCUCCUGGGCACCA